GAUCCAUAAUAAUCUUCUUGAGGAAUUGUGUUUCUCUCACUUGCCUUCCUUUAGACUUAAUUUAGGUUUCUUGAUAGGAAAAAUAAACUACUUAAUGAGGUAGUGAGAGGACCAAUCCAUAAGGUUCUAUUUAUAAACACCACCCAGUGUUGAGGAUAAAUAAUAUAUAAUGCAAUUGGGCCACAUUAAUGAUAAUAUUAUAUUUAAAGAUAAAUCUAACAAAUUCAAGUCAAGACUUUAGGCUCUCUCGACAAAAAAAAAUGGCAGUCGUAUCAAAGAAAUGUGGAACCAGAAUUGCCAUGAUUGGGAUCUGCACCUUAGAAGAGCUCUAAAUGAUAUUGAUAUCCAACGCAAUGGAACGAAAUCAAGCCACAUCUAUCCACCCCAAACAGCAACAAUGGCCUUGAUAUACCAAAUUGGAAGCUUUCUUCAAAUGGGCAGUUCAGCGUGGCAUCUGCAAAAAAAGCUAUACAGGUAGCUCACUCUCGAGAGAUAAACUUCAACACCGACUUUCUAAGUGGAAUCUCAAUCCUAGCUGGUGUAUCCUAUGUAAAAAGCACGCCAAAGAUUUCCACCAUCUUUUCACUACUUGCUUUGUUGCCAAAUACAUAUGGUCUAAGGUUGCUCUCCUUCUAAACUGGCAGAACACCUAUACAAGUACGGCUUACCUUUGCAACCAUAUUAGCCAUUACAAACAGAAAAUAGAAAAAGAUGUGGCAGUUUCUCUUUGGACCAUUUGACUAGAAAUGAACAACAGAACAUUUAAAGACAAAGAGAGAAAAGAGGAAGACAUUUGGGAAGAUAUUGUUGCUUUUACUGGCUCAUGGAGUACUAGAUCAAAGUUACUUUCUGAUUAUGAUGCUACCUUUACUGUACUAAACAUUUCUACCUUUGCCUGAUUUUGGGUCUCCUUUGGGUUUCUCUCUAGCCCUUUUUGUAAUAUUCCUUGCUCUUUGAACUAUUUUUCACGUGUUAAUAAAACAGGAAUGAUGAAAGUGUUAAAAAGGUGUCAA